rnacentral:rRNA from 1 species
CAUGGCUCAGAUUGAACGCUGGCGGCAGGCCUAACACAUGCAAGUCGAGCGGAUGAGUGGAGCUUGCUCCAUGAUUCAGCGGCGGACGGGUGAGUAAUGCCUAGGAAUCUGCCUGGUAGUGGGGGAUAACGUUUCGAAAGGAACGCUAAUACCGCAUACGUCCUACGGGAGAAAGUGGGGGAUCUUCGGACCUCACGCUAUCAGAUGAGCCUAGGUCGGAUUAGCUAGUUGGUGGGGUAAUGGCCCACCAAGGCGACGAUCCGUAACUGGUCUGAGAGGAUGAUCAGUCACACUGGAACUGAGACACGGUCCAGACUCCUACGGGAGGCAGCAGUGGGGAAUAUUGGACAAUGGGCGAAAGCCUGAUCCAGCCAUGCCGCGUGUGUGAAGAAGGUCUUCGGAUUGUAAAGCACUUUAAGUUGGGAGGAAGGGCAGUAAGUUAAUACCUUGCUGUUUAGACGUUACCAACAG